UGAGAGCAGGUAGGCAGAAGUAAUCCGUUGUGUCACACCGGCAAGUUCUCUUAUCGACCCUGCCAUGAUAGCACCACAGCUCCGGGACUACACACCCACCGAGGGCAGAGAGGGCUGCAUCAAUACUGGCACAAAGAAGUUCCAGGUCGCCUACUGCAUCAAUUAAACAAUGUGCUCAAUGUACAUCAAGGAAAUACAGUUCCCGAUGAUAUGUUGCACACUCUAUUUAUAUACAAUGGCAUAUAAUACAGCACACAUUCUCUGUAUGUAUUUUUCGGGACAUAUUUGCUCAUUUGACUCCAUUUCACUCUCUCUCUCUCUCUCAUAAGUAACCAUGUUUAGACUCGGUGGCACUGCAGGUUACUCAUAGUCGGUUGAGUCUACAAGGCAGAAGGAAGAGCUGUCUCUCCUCUCUCUGCUCCAGUCUUCUCACCACUCGUCUCCUCUGUACCUUGCUGAUAAAUUAGACACGAGGGAGUUAUUCAGGUUGCAUCCCCAAGUCUUUUUGUCUGCAUUAAAGCCUUACAGGGAAGAGAAACUGGAACUACUCCUAGACCUUGAAUCAGAUUUGACUCUGUCUCCAUCUGUUGGUUAAACUCAGAAUGCUUGGGUAGACCUUACUGUAGGUUAGCUGCCUAAUUAUUAGGGAUGUGACAAAUUUACAAUUGUUCUCUAUGUUUAAACUGCAUUUUUUAAAUAGUUUAAACGAUAAGAGAAAAUCAUAAAAUUACGUGGAUGCCCAAUUCAGAUAUGAUCCUGCGUAUGACCGCUAGGGGGCAGUGCAGUUCAAUCUUCCUCAGUCCUGGCUAAUUAUCAGACAGCGCUCAUCUUACUGCUGUCCCCCACCCACUCACCAACGAUAGUAGUUAAUGCUGUUUUAGGUUCCUUUCCUCCAUGUUCUCAGUUGUCAGUACAUGGGACGUCAUGUCCCACUUCUCAUCAGUGUGAUGGCUCAUUGCAGUUAUGUAGGACAGCGUGUUCAUAGACAUCCAACAGUCUGUUGUUAUUGCCACGUAUGGUAUUUUAGAGUUCGCGCUUUGUAUAUGCAGAGCAAUCAUUGUACAAUUUCUCCAUCCAGGCCGUCACGCUUUUUCAACAUGGCAUCUUGUAGUCUGGUUCUAGAUAUGCUAUCAGAGCAGUGAAGCCAACUGUUAACAACGAUGACGUGCAGAGCGAUUUAUAUCAGUGGCAAAUAAUUUGAAAAGAUGCAUAGGUCCUCCUACUAACGUUAGUGCUGUAGAAUUAGGUAUUUGGUUUAUCUAUAUGAUCGGGAUCUGUUAGUGGUAGUUUUGUGGUCACUGCACUGUGGUUUGAAUUUUGUAAAAAAAUAAAUAUAUUGUUUAGUUUUUUUCCUAACUGUUAAUGAUCCCAAUGUCAUUUAAAUGUUCAUACCUCUACUAAUUAUACUUUAAUAUUAAUGAAUGAGUCUUUUUUGCAGAAGGCUUGUAACAGGUGGCUCAAUGUUUCUCUCUCAUGGUGCUAGAGCGUGAGCUCUUUUUUAUGCAUAUCCAUACAGAAACAAGUUUUGUCCGGGCUCUGUGUAUCUGAGUCCUUUAGCUGCAUGUAGCCUACAUGUACAUUCUCCUGGCAGUUGCUCUGUUUUCACUUCAGCCCCGGUUCCUCCUCCCAGGCAGCAGCAGAGCUUCAAGCUUCAUGGAUACAUAGACCACACAACUUUCAGGACAGCAGAGCAGAUUGCUUUUCCCUGUUCAGGGAGUCUAGUGGCUGUACCUCUGGUCUCCUGAUGUUGUGUCUGAGACUCACAUGGAACUAGCCGAGAGAGAUAUAAAGUAGAUCAGGGUUCCCCAACUGGCGGCCCGUGGGUGGUUUUAUUUGGCUCCCAAGUUUUCUGAGCAAAUCUUUUUUUUUUCAUUGUUGGACAUAGACUGUGAAAUCAGCUCCAAGUGAUUGUAGUUUUGGAAAUCUGUUUCCAGGUAUUCCCACAAAUAAUACAGAGACACAUGAUUGUAUAGAAAUGUAAGCAAGGUUUGAAAUUGUAUUUUUUUGUCAAACGUUAUAUCUGUUUGGGCUUCUUGCACUCUACAAAUUAUUUGUAUGAUCCAGCCCCCGACCAUCCGCCCAAGAACAAAAUGUCCCGUGGCUGAAUCUAGUUAAUGAUCCCUGGAGUAGAUAAUGAUUGCCUCAUUUUAGAAGAGGAUGGGUGGUGGGGAGAGAUGAAACUCAGAAUCGUGAUUUCCCAUUCUGGAAAACCAGCAACCCCUCGGAGUGAGCCCCACAGAGACAGAAAACAGAUCUGACAUGAUUGAUGUUCAUCCUGCUCCCCAGAUUGGUUGUCAAAUCAUGAGAAUAUAAUAACUCUAUUGCUGGAUGAGUUCAUCUAAAUCUCCCCAGUCUGCACUCAUACUGAACUAUGGUCUAUUUCAAUACAGGAUGAAGUCUGUGUUGAUAGCAUGAGAACAGAUGGCAUUUUUCUACCUGUUUGGUUCCGCUGAUGUGUCCAACUGGCUUGUGACCAAACUGGCAAGUUAGUGUGUGAGUAAUGUAACUGUGCUUGGGCCAAAAGACUGUCUAGACCCCUCAAACUCAACUCUGGUCCUCGAAGCCAGUUCCACUGCUUUUUUAAAUUGUUCCCCUCUAAUCACAGUAUUAUUUAGACAUGGGACACCAGGUGGGUGCAAUUAAGUAUCAGGUAGAACAGAAAACCAUCAGGCUCCGGACCUCAUAGGGUAAGCGUUGAAUACCAUAGAAUUAGGAAUUUGAAUACUAAUGGAAAUGAAUAUUCUUAUGAUGGAAUAAAUGUCAGCUAUUUUGGUCAGGGAUUUGGCCAACCAUGGUUGCCACUGCUGUGAUAAGAUAUUGUGUCAAAUAAUACAUUUUACGAAUUCAUCUGCACUUUAUACAACUGAUGGGUCUAAUCCUGAAUGCUGAUUUUAGUUUUUUAUAAACGCAUUCCAGUGUCUAUUCCACAAGUUACCACCAGCUUAAUCUAUAACGUUGAGAUGCCUAUUUCCUCUGUUCCAUUUCACUGCGCAAUCCACUGUCUCAUAAAUCCUGCCAGGUCAUUUAUAAACUUGAUCUCCACUAUAGAAAGCAUCUAGACAUUAUCUCCCAUUUCUUUUAGACUAGCAUUUGGUUUUCAACAGUGGAGAUUUGUAUAAAACUUGCAGUCUGUCUCUUCGACGUUUGUAACAUUGUUUCAAUGUUCAAAUUCGAUCUCCAGCUGUCCCAUAUAAAGUGAACGUGUCCGAAUGAGACAGACAGCACAUUGAGCUGGUUGUCAUAGCAACAUACAACACUUUUUGUUCAGUUGACUGGCUAAAUCGAUAAUUGUUGCGAAAACUAAAAUGGAUGAGUGGAACAUUUCUUUUGAUAUUUUCGGCGGCAUAAUUAUGGAUGAAUGGGAGAAAGAGUACCUAGGCAUACAGAUUUGGGAGAUACUGCAUUGAAUGACCUAAAGAAAAGCCGCUAUGAAGAAAACGCAGUUACGAAUACAAACUGGACUGUGCGGUGCUUCGAGGGCUGGCAAGCAGAAAAUAAAAAAGUUGUUGACUUCAAAACUGUCACUAAGGAAGAGUUUAACAUCCUUCUCUGACAGUUUUAUGGAAAUGUACCAAAUGGGAAGGGGGAGCAGUACAGCAUAAGUAGCUACCUGGCACUCCGGAGUGGGCUCAACCGGUUUCUAAAUGACCCACCCAUCAGUCGCAGCUGUUGCCUUAUGAAGGACACUGAAUUUACCAUUUCUGGGCAACAUCAAACAGCUAAGAUGGCAAGGAAAAGAUAUCACAAACAGCCACCCUACCAUCACCGAUAAGGACAUGGCCCAGCUCUAAAACUCCCAGGCUCUGAACCCCGGUACAACAAGGGGUCUGGUCCAGAAAGUGUGGUUCAACCCCCAGUUACAUCUGGGUCAAGAUGAAAAGAGAGGAACAGACAACUAAAGCCCACCUCAUUCCUUGUUAAAAAAACAGCCGAGAACGUUCUAAGAUACUCCACUCUCACAUAUAACGAGGCCUCAAGGAAUCAUCUGGACCCAAGGGAGAGAGGCAGGGAGUCCAAGAGGAGAUUCAUGUUCGAGCAGCCAGGGAACCCACUAUGCCCGGUGGCAUCACUGGAGAAAUAUCUAUCGAAAUGCCCAGAGAACGCCCUUGCAUUUUUAUCUUCACCCAAGGAGAGGAGAGUGUAUCGGGGACUCGAUCUGAUACACGUCAGAGCCGAUGGGAGUGAACUAUCUGGCACUUCUACCCAAGAUCUGCAGGGCAGCGGGAACAACUGCAUACACAAAUCACAGCAUCAGGUCCACGACAGUCCAGAAACUGGCCAAUACUGGUCUAGAACUAAGGGAGAUUACGAAGCGAAGGUUCGCUACUGGCGUCCCUCACUGACAGACAGAAAACGCUGGAGCAACAUCCUUGCAGAAAACAAAGAGAACACUGCAGCAUCAUCAACACCUAAAAGGCUGAAGCAAGGCAGCAGAAGUAGUAGCACAGACUCUACAGAUAUUUCAACCAGUGCACCGUCCAGGGGAACGUACAGAUAAAUGAGACAUACAAUAAGUAGUUUUAGCUAUCUCAGCUGUGGUGGAUAAGAGUGAUUGUAUGGUUUCAUUUAUAAAAAUCAGCUCAAACGAA